rnacentral:rRNA from 1 species
UACGAAGGGGGCUAGCGUUGCUCGGAAUCACUGGGCGUAAAGGGCGCGUAGGCGGAUCCUUAAGUCAGAGGUGAAAGCCCAAGGCUCAACCUUGGAAUUGCCUUUGAUACUGGGGAUCUCGAGACCGGAAGAGGUAAGUGGAACUGCGAGUGUAGAGGUGAAAUUCGUAGAUAUUCGCAAGAACACCAGUGGCGAAGGCGGCUUACUGGUCCGGUUCUGACGCUGAGGCGCGAAAGCGUGGGGAGCAAACAGG